CUUGGUUGUUUUCUGAGACAGA
rnacentral:miRNA from 1 species